UACGUAGGGUGCAAGCGUUGUCCGGAAUUAUUGGGCGUAAAGGGCUCGUAGGCGGUCCAUCGCGUCGGGAGUGAAAAGCUGGGGCUUAACCCCAGUCCUGCUUCCGAUACGGGUGGACUAGAGGUAGGUAGGGGAGAACGGAAUUCCUGGUGUAGCGGUGAAAUGCGCAGAUAUCUGGAGGAACACCGGUGGCGAAGGCGGCAUCCUGGACCAACACUGACGCUGAGUGAGCGAAAGCCAGGGGAGCAAACGGG
rnacentral:rRNA from 1 species